UGACCACCCAAAACGCUGGGUUAAGGCCAUACGGACAGCCGGGUCAACUGCCGA
rnacentral:sRNA from 1 species